UACGUAGGGGUCGAGCGUUGUCCGGAGUUACUGGGCGUAAAGCGCAUGCAGGCGGCUCAUUACGCAUGGCGUGAAAGCCCCCGGCUCAACCGGGGAGGGUCGCCGUGAACGGGUGAGCUUGAGGGUAUCAGGGGCUGGUGGAAUUCCCGGUGUAGUGGUGAAAUGCGUAGAGAUCGGGAGGAACACCUGUGGCGAAGGCGGCCAGCUGGGAUACACCUGACGCUGAGAUGCGAAGGCGUGGGGAGCGAACGGGAUUAGAUACCCGUGUAGUCCCU
rnacentral:rRNA from 1 species